GAGAGAGAUAGAGAGAGAGAGAGAGAGAGAGAGAGAGAGAGAGAAGAGAAAGUGAUGGUACCAGAAGAUGAAGAGGUGUCCUCAGAGGGCUGCUUACCAUCUCUUGUAUAAUCUUCGGGUAAGUUGUUUAGGUCUAAUGGACUUUCCUCUGAUCUCCUGCUUUUUUAUUUAUUCACAACAAACAAAACUUUCAUUUUUAAUUAUU